rnacentral:ncRNA from 1 species
AAUAAUUUUGAUUCUAGUUUUUAGAUUAAUUUAAUGUAAUAUUUAUCAUGUUUUGUUAAAAUAAAAUGUUUUAUAGCAGUAAUUUAUUUUAUUUUUUACUAAUUUAUAAAUUGAUUAAGUUAUAUAUUUUAGGAUUGGAUAAAUUUGUGCCAGCAUCUGCGGUUAUACAUAUAAAUUCAAGUUAAUUAAUUUAGUUAUAUAUAAUUAUAUUUUUAUAUUUUAUUUUAAUUUUUAGGUGAAAUUAAUAUAUUUAUUUUUUAAAGAAAAUUUAUAUGAAGUUUAUUUUAUAAACUAGGAUUAGAUACCCUAUUAUAGUUAAAUUUAAAAAUUUUAACUAGGAGAUUAAUAGAUAUAAACUUGUAAAUUUAAAGAAUUUGGCGGUAAAUUAAUUUGUCUAGAGGAAUUUGUUUAAUAAUUGAUAAUCCUCAUUUUAUCUUACCUUUAAAUUUAUAUUUGAGUAUGUAUAUCGCCGUUAAGAUGAAUAUUUUUAUAGAAAUAAUUUUCUUAAUAAUUAUAUUAUUAAAAUCAGGUCAAGGUGCAGCUUAUAUUAAGGAUAAAAAUGAAUUACAUUUAUUUUUAAUAAUUAUGGAUUAUUGAGUGAAAUUAUAAUAUGAAGGUGGAUUUAGAAGUAAAAAAUUAAUAGUAGAGAGAUUUUUUGAAUUUAAUUUUGAUUUAUGUACAUAUUGCCCGUCGCUCUCGUUGAAGUUUAAAAAUGAGAUAAGUCGUAACAUAGUAGGUCUACCGGAAGGUAGACCUAGAUUGAU